GCACCGGUGGUGUAAGGUACACGCGUCAUGUCCUUCCAUGAACGCGUGAAACGUACCGAACGAGCCCGGGGUUCGACUCCCCGCCGGUGCA